AUGCCCCGGAUUCCUUACCGAUCAGAGCUGAGCACUGAUCUCAGCGCUUAUAACAGGAGGCAAAUAAUAUUGAAACUCCCUUAGAUUACUUUGUGGCACAUGAGCCAGUUUCAAACAAAA
rnacentral:snoRNA from 1 species